rnacentral:tRNA from 1 species
GACCCCAUCGUCUAGCCUGGUCAGGACAAGAGCUUUUCAAGCUCUCGACACCGGUUCAAAUCCGGUUGGGGUCG